GCGUUUUAAUAUAAGUGAUCUCCUCAGCAAAGAUGGGGACCUGGUGGGUCAUCUCUCACCCACAUGGGAGGAAGAGGAGGGUGACCAGUUUAGUCAUUACACAGAAUAUGGAAAAUAUAAAAACAGCAGCACAAUGUCUGAUUCUGCCUCGUAAAACCAUCGGGUAGCACAGAUGAAUGAAAUAUUCCUACAUGACCUACUUUACUGAACUGAGAAAACCACCUGCUGACGGUGCAAAUGAUCUAUGAGAAGAGUUGCAGGUUGUAUCAUUUGUCAGCCUUGCAGAGAACGCUGUCCAAAUGCCACUGGGAGAACCAAAGCAAUAUGACAACUCCAUGGUACAGCUCAAAACGCUGAAAUUAGAUUGCAGGGAUUUACAGCAACCGCUUGUGAUGUUGUCAUUAGUGCAUUUGGAUUCCAGCUUCCAGCUUGUUUCUGAUCAGCUAAUAACAGCCCACGUCUUACGCUUUAACCAACAGGACGUGCUGCCUGGAACCAUAGUGCCACUUUGCAGCCCCCGGGGAACCUAGCUGAUGCAAAGCCAGUGCCUUAAAGAUGAC